GACGAACGCUGGCGGCGUGCUUAACACAUGCAAGUCGAACGGAAAGGCCCUGCUUUUGUGGGGUGCUCGAGUGGCGAACGGGUGAGUAACACGUGAGUAACCUGCCCUUGACUUUGGGAUAACUUCAGGAAACUGGGGCUAAUACCGGAUAGGAGCUCCUGCUGCAUGGUGGGGGUUGGAAAGUUUCGGCGGUUGGGGAUGGACUCGCGGCUUAUCAGCUUGUUGGUGGGGUAGUGGCUUACCAAGGCUUUGACGGGUAGCCGGCCUGAGAGGGUGACCGGCCACAUUGGGACUGAGAUACGGCCCAGACUCCUACGGGAGGCAGCAGUGGGGAAUAUUGCACAAUGGGCGGAAGCCUGAUGCAGCAACGCCGCGUGCGGGAUGACGGCCUUCGGGUUGUAAACCGCUUUCGGCUGGGACGAAGCGUGAGUGACGGUAAUGGGUAAAGAAGCACCGGCUAACUACGUG
rnacentral:rRNA from 1 species